rnacentral:misc_RNA from 1 species
AAAAACGAACAUCGGCAACGUAGACAUCUAGAAAAAUCUUCUUUAUCGACGUCGAUCAAGUUCCUUGACGUGUUUCACUUCACCUUAACGAAACCGGCAAAAGCAACAGGUGGACGAGGUUAUGUUGAAUAGUAACAGAGACAACUUACAGGAAUAAUUACAUCUAAGACGAAAAUAUGAUGGAUCCACCAGAGGAUUUUCCUUUUCCAUUUUCUCCAUACAAUAUUCAGAAAGAAUUCAUGAGGAACUUGUAUAUGUGUUUAGAAAAUGGUCAUUUAGGCAUCUUUGAAAGUCCGACAGGUACUGGAAAAUCUCUUUCGCUUAUCUGUGGAGCAGUGCGAUGGCUUCUCGAUCACGAAGAACGUCAGAAAAAUGAACUGGAGGAGAAAAUUCGUGAAUUAGAUAUCAAGUUAAAAGAGGCAGCAAAUAAAGUAACAGAUGAUUGGUUCUCGGUGCAGACUGGUCAGCUACAGGUAAACGCUGAGAAACAAGAAAUUCAAAGAAAAUUAGAUGCUAUCUAUAAGAAUGAAGAAAAGAUUAAAAAAUAUAAAGCACGGUCUAUGGCAGAAAGUAAAAAGAGUAAAAGGAAAUUUAUAGCCCUGUCUAAAGCGCCAAGUGCUUCCGAGGACGUUAAGCAGAUCCCAUCAGAAUCUGACACGAAAGAAACGUCUGAUGAUUUUGCUGAAGAGUUGAUUCUUGAUGAUGCAGCGAUUUUAUCAGAUAGUUCUGACGAAGAAGAUACAGACGAUGCACCGUUUAGAUGUAGUAAGAUAUUUUUCUGCUCUCGGACUCACUCCCAGCUUUCUCAGUUCGUCGGGGAAUUAAGAAAAAGUCCAUACGCAGAGAAAGUAUCGCUUGUACCGCUUGCUUCCAGAAACAAUUAUUGUAUCAAUAAAGAUGUGAAGAAACUGCGGAAUGGUAAUCUUAUAAACGAACGUUGUUUGCAACUGCAACGCAAGAAAACUACCACUAAGCAAGAAAAAACUUUAAAGAGAUCAAAGACGUUGACCUCUUGUCCAUUCAUGCCAGGAAAUCAAGAGUUCCUAAUUGCUCAGAUAUUAACUACUAUACAAGAUAUUGAAGACAUAACGGAAGUAGCUCGAUUGCAUAAAACUUGUCCAUACUAUGCAUCUAGAAAUUCUACACAAGAUGGCCAGAUUGUUCUAGUUCCUUACAAUAGUAUUUUACAUAAGAAUACAAGACUUAGUUCAGGAAUAGAUUUAAAAGGAAAUGUUUUAAUAAUAGACGAGGCACAUAAUUUAUUGGAUGCAAUUGAACGAAUGCACAGCGCCACUGUUACUGGCAGGAAUAUAUUGCAUUGUUACAGCCAGUUAUCUCAAUAUCAGAAAAGAUUUGAAGCAUUUUUUUCAGCCAAGAAUGUGUUGUACUUGAGCCAGCUAAGUUUCUGUUUAAAAAAAUUCAUCAAAGUAUUAGGUGGAUCAGUCAAAUCAAAUCCUGGAGAUAAAAUAGAUGAAAAUGUGUCUUCCAAAUUGUAUAAUAUUCAAGAAUUCGAAACAGUCGCCGAGAUCGAUACAAUAAACAUCUUUGAACUAUUACUAUUCGUAAAGAAUUCUAAAUUACCCCAUAAGUUGCAAGGAUAUAUAGAGAAGUAUAGCAGCGAUUUAAAAACUAAUGACAAGAAACCGGAGAAAUCUGGUAUAUUAGCAUAUCUGGAUACCCUUCGCAUAAAGAGUACCGCAUUAGAGGAAAUUCCUGUAAACGAAGAAGAAAAAAGUGAAGAGGAUCUAACUAGUAAUCCUUUGUUAUUAAUUAUUAGCUUCCUCGAAUGUCUGAAAAGUUCUUCCAUGGAUGGUCGAAUAAACUUCACGCCCGGUGCUACUAUAGGCCAAAGUGCAUUCAAAUAUUUUUUAUUAAAUCCAGCGGCUCAUUUUCAAGACAUAGUAACGGAUGCAAGAGCAGUUGUAUUAGCCGGAGGAACAAUGGAGCCGAUUUCAGAAUUCAAGGAACAAUUGUUUAUUAGUGCUGGUGCUAAGCCAGAACGAAUAGUAACAUUUAGUUGUGAUCACGUAGUUCCUAAGACAAAUAUCCAUACCAGUAUAGUGACUCGUGGUCCUGGCGGUCUGGAGUUCGAGUUCAAUUUUCAGAACCGAAACAAUACAAAAUUGCUAGAAGAACUAGGACGCGCACUUUUAAAUUUGUGUAACGUCAUACCAGCUGGCAUCGUAGUCUUUCUGCCAUCUUAUAAUUACGAAGCAACAGUGUACAAGCAUUUACAAGAUUCUGGGAUCAUAAGUAAAAUUUUGAAAAAGAAGCGUAUCUUCCGCGAGCCGAAACAAUCUUCCCAGUUAUUUUUUAUCUGCUGCUGCACAGGUAAAUCACGUUUUGGAAGAGUAUAGCAAAACUAUUAAGAACCCGAGCCAACCACAAAAUGGAUCGUUACUUUUUAGUGUUGUUGGAGGCAAAUUGAGCGAAGGAUUAAAUUUUUCGGAUGAUUUAGGAAGAUGUGUAAUAGUAGUUGGUAUGCCGUACCCAAAUGUAAAGUCGCUAGAAUUACAGGAAAAAAUGAG